GGGGGUAUAGCUCAGUGGCAGAGUACUUGCCUAGUAAGCUUGAGGCCCUGGGUUUGAUUCUCAGCACUGCCA
rnacentral:tRNA from 1 species